UGCAGUCGAGCGGACAGAUGGGAGCUUGCUCCCUGAUGUUAGCGGCGGACGGGUGAGUAACACGUGGGUAACCUGCCUGUAAGACUGGGAUAACUCCGGGAAACCGGGGCUAAUACCGGAUGGUUGUCUGAACCGCAUGGUUCAGACAUAAAAGGUGGCUUCGGCUACCACUUACAGAUGGACCCGCGGCGCAUUAGCUAGUUGGUGAGGUAACGGCUCACCAAGGCGACGAUGCGUAGCCUACCUGAGAGGGUGAUCGGCCACACUGGGACUGAGACACGGCCCAGACUCCUACGGGAGGCAGCAGUAGGGAAUCUUCCGCAMUGGACGAAAGUCUGACGGAGCAACGCCACGUGAGUGAUGAAGGUUUUCGGAUCGUAUAGCUCUGUUGUUAGGGAAGAACAAGUGCCGUUCAAAUAGGGCGGCACCUUGACGGUACCUAACCAGAAWGCCACGGCUAACUACGUGCCAGCAGCCGCGGUAAUACGUAGGUGGCAAGCGUUGUCCGGAAUUAUUGGGCGUAAAGGGCUCGCAGGCGGUUUCUUAAGUCUGAUGUGAAAGCCCCCGGCUCAACCGGGGAGGGUCAUUGGAAACUGGGGAACUUGAGUGCAGAAGAGGAGAGUGGAAUUCCACGUGUAGCGGUGAAAUGCGUAGAGAUGUGGAGGAACACCAGUGGCGAAGGCGACUCUCUGGUCUGUAACUGACGCUGAGGAGCGAAAGCGUGGGGAGCGAACAGGAUUAGAUACCCUGGUAGUCCACGCCGUAAACGAUGAGUGCUAAGUGUUAGGGGGUUUCCGCCCCUUAGUGCUGCAGCUAACGCAUUAAGCACUCCGCCUGGGGAGUACGGUCGCAAGACUGAAACUCAAAGGAAUUGACGGGGGCCCGCACAAGCGGUGGAGCAUGUGGUUUAAUUCGAAGCAACGCGAAGAACCUUACCAGGUCUUGACAUCCUCUGACAAUCCUAGAGAUAGGACGUCCCCUUCGGGGGCAGAGUGACAGGUGGUGCAUGGUUGUCGUCAGCUCGUGUCGUGAGAUGUUGGGUUAAGUCCCGCAACGAGCGCAACCUUGAUCUUAGUUGCCAGCAUUCAUUUGGGCACUCUAAGGUGACUGCCGGUGACAACCGGAGAAAGGUGGGGAUGACUUCAAUCAUCAUGCCCCUUAUGACUUGGGCUACC
rnacentral:rRNA from 1 species